rnacentral:misc_RNA from 1 species
GUGAAUCAUCGAAUCUUUGAACGCACAUUGCGCCCCCUGGUAUUCCGGGGGGCAUGCCUGUUCGAGCGUCAUUACAACCCUCAAGCUCUGCUUGGUGUUGGGCCCCGCCGCCCCGGCGGGCCCUAAAAUCAGUGGCGGUGCCGUCCGGCUCCGAGCGUAGUAAUUCUUCUCGCUCUGGAGGUCCGGGUGUGUGCUCGCCAGCAACCCCCAAUUUUUUUCAGGUUGACCUCGGAUCAGGUAGGGAUACCCGCUGAACUUAAGCAUAUCAAUAAGCGGAGGA